AAAUCCCCCAUGAACAAGGUUUAUCAGUUUCUAUGGAAAUCUUCCAGAGAUACAUGCCCUACCCUGCAAUUUUUCGGUCGAGGGGAUAUUUUUUACCAAUUAAGAGCAAGAUGCCCUUUUUGCUUCAAGAGAUUACUUCAAAACACACAGUGUCGUCAAGAUGUUGGUGUAUGGAGCUAAGAAGUUGGAAUCGGUGGUCUUUAACAAAAGUCACUUUGAGAACUUUGCAUGUGAUGUAGUCAGCAAGCACUACUGCAUUGAAAUCUACAAUGGAUCCAAAAGUGACAGGUCUCUCCAAUUUCAAUUGGCAUUCUAGCUCAAAAUUGGCUCAGAAAAU